rnacentral:rRNA from 1 species
AGAGCCCCGUACGGUUGGACACCAAGCCUCUGUAAAGCUCCUUCGACGAGUCGAGUAGUUUGGGAAUGCUGCUCUAAAUGGGAGGUAAAUUUCUUCUAAAGCUAAAUAUUGGCCAGAGACCGAUAGCGCACAAGUAGAGUGAUCGAAAGAUGAAAAGCACUUUGAAAAGAGGGUUAAAUAGCACGUGAAAUUGUUGAAAGGGAAGCGUUUGCGACCAGACCUUUUCCUAGCGGAUCAUCCGGUGUUCUUCACCGGUGCACUUCGCUAGGUUGAGGCCAGCAUCGGUUUUCGUAGGGGGAUAAAAGCCCUGGGAACGUAGCUCCUCCGGGAGUGUUAUAGCCCUCUGCAUAAUACCCUUACGGGGACCGAGGACCGCGC